CUAGUAUCGCGAGAUCAGGAAGGUGGCCGAGUGUGUCGCCGCGGCCAUCAGGGGCUAGAGCAAUGUAUCUUAGGCUCACUUAAGGAAGCUGUAGAGAUGAGCCCAAGGAGGGAAACCAGAAGAGCCCCCCAGGCUCACCAGUUGUUUGUUGGCUCCCUACAAACAUGUCAUUCAAGUGGCUAAUCUUACAACAGCACAAAUUCAUCUAACCAGAAAGAGAAGAGGAGGCUCCAAAGGCACUUGACUACUGAGCAUCACCCUGGACGUGUACAAGUCUGCGUCCUUAUUGUUUUCUUCAUUGGGCCGAACUUUCUGGUCCUCAUCCAACAGCUCUUCUAUCACGUGUUCGAAAGUGUCAGCCAAUGAUGUCAAGCCUCUUGAACCUGCCUUGGGCCCAUUCACGCUCUCCAGAGUCCCAUGGGUCCGCACACCUGGAGAUACUCUAUUAUAGCAAAGAAGAAAGAUAAUUUCAUUGAGCCAUCCUGUUUUACAGGAUUUUCCCUCCUGGUGAGUCAAAAUGAACAAGAAAUACCCCAGGACCUCCCUUCCCUCCUUGGCCAUUAAUGAGAUGAAGGCAAUUAACUCACAUAGUAUAAAUGAAUCAUUUGAGGUGAUGACUGCAUUUUAGGCAAAUGAUGACUUUCUUGGUUCCAUUGGUUUGCAAGUAAAAGUUACACACAUUGAAAAGACACUGAAACAGAUUUCCUAAAUGCUUCAUUUUCUGGAUGCACCAAUGUUGACCUACUAUACAUGUUAAAUGGUUUUAAAAUAUCACCUUAAAAUAAAGGAAACUUCCAGCUACUAACUCAGCUCUGAAUGGGCUAUGAAAGGCUCCAAAGGUAUGUGAAAAAUUACUGUUAUUUUGCUUUAAAAAAUGUGAUGUCUAAGAGUGUCUGCAAUGUUCUAAUGCUUCAAAACAUGUACGUAAGCCUUGUUUAUCUGGAAAUCAUUUCUUUCUGCUUAUAUCAUUUAUAAAUAGAAAAUGUUCUGUAAUAACUUAAAAUAGUUCCACAUACAUAAUGCUUUUAGUGUCAUAAUACUUACUACUGGUCUAUAUUUACCAACAUUUAUCACAUUUUACAAAAUGAAGUAGAAGAAAAAAAAGACAACGACUUUAUGGCCCUGGAAUUCCAGUAAUGGUGACCAACAUGUUUUAAAUUCCAGUAAAGGUUAUGGUUACAUUUCAACAAGUGUCUCUUUCCUUUUUUUUACCUCUCCUGCUAACCCAGAGGUAAAUUUCCCAAAAA
rnacentral:lncRNA from 1 species